AAGAAAAAAUGGUUUCUUUUAUUCUAACUCUGGGGACAUUCUGUCUGCUUGCACAAGUGUCUCAUGAAGAGGUUCAGUCUCCUGAGUCUCUGUCUGUUAAAGCAGGAGAAUCUGUCUCUAUCAGUUGCACUGGGACCAGCGGAGUUGGUGAUGACAUGAGCUGGUAUCUGCAGAAAACUGGAGAACCUCCUAAACUCCUGAUCCAUGACGCAAGUCAACUUGUAUCUGGAGUCUCAGAUCGGUUCAGUGGAACUUAUUCUGGAUAUGUAUUUACACUGAACAUACGUGGAGUCCAGUCUGAGGAUGCAGGAGUUUAUUACUGUAUGGGGUAUUAUGGUGGUGGAGUGUUCACACAGUGAAACAGCAUCGUACAAAAACCUCCCUCAUUCUGACAGCUGAGAGAAUAUGAUAAUACUGAGAAGUUCACAACAUCAGUCAGUUACGAUAUUAUCAGAUAAGUUGUGCUAAAAUUAGAUUUGCAAAUAUAAAUAGUACAUGCAUGAGAUAAUACACAUUGAUGAAUUAAUUAGACUUUAGUUCAUUAUAAAUGAAACAUGAAAUCCACGUGUUUGUUUCAGUAGUCACACACUCUUUCAUUCAGCUUGUAGCAUUUUGAGCAACAGAAUUUAAAAUCUGUAUAUUAUAUUUUAAUUGUAAUUGUACAUUUUAAAUUAAUUCAGCUGAAAUGUAGAGCCUACAGAGUAAGUGAAUCUUAGCCUUGGGCCAGUUAUGCUUAAAUUCAGAGGGCAGGAUCCUAAAACCUUCAAAAAGCAGCAGCAAAUGCUGAUGUGAGCUUUACUUUGUGCAACAUAAAGAUAACAAAUCAUAUUAUCAUAUUACACUGUUUAUAAAUAUGUGAACUCAUACCAUCAAAACACAUGAACAUUAUCUUUUAAAUUCUAUUAAAAAAUAUAGUGUUAUAUAUCAUUCAUAUCACAUUUACACAGCAAUGAAUCAAUUAAAGGAUAAUCACACAGAUGAUAAAAGGUGAGUAAUAAAAGAAUCUAUUCUUUCCUAUUUAUUUUUUAGAAAUUAGUUUAGAAAUAAGUUAAUUUAAUGUAGUGGAUCCA